rnacentral:rRNA from 1 species
CCUACGGGAGGCAGCAGUGAGGAAUUUUGCGCAAUGGGGGAAACCCUGACGCAGCAACGCCGCGUGAGUGAAGAAGGCCUUCGGGUCGUAAAGCUCUGUCAAGAGGGAAGAAGGAGGGAUGCAGUAACACUGCAUUUUUUUGACGGUACCUCUGAAGGAAGCACCGGCUAACUCCGUGCCAGCAGCCGCGGUAAU